CGGAUUUCUCGGCUGCGUGGAGCGCGUGGUCGCGAGCACAUGGAAAUGAGGUGGAGAUCUGGGUCUGAAAGACGCGCAAGUGAUCAUCCGAAAAAUGGAAUAUAAUAUAUAUAGCAACCGAAUGAUCCGAUCUAGUCUGUGUUUGGUGGUGCCCAGGACUAGCAGAUGUCUUCUUUUUGGACCAAACCCUGGUUUGAAACAGGGGUUGAACCGUUUUUUUUAUAUACCUGGCUUGAAAAUGGAUCCUGGGACGGAAGCCGGAGCAGGAGAGAGGAGACCAGUAAAGACCAGUAAAGACCGGUAUAGGGA
ensembl:lncRNA